rnacentral:rRNA from 1 species
GUGGGGAAUAUUGGACAAUGGGGGGAACCCUGAUCCAGCCAUGCCGCGUGUGUGAAGAAGGCCUUUUGGUUGUAAAGCACUUUAAGCGAGGAGGAGGCUACCGAGAUUAAUACUCUUGGAUAGUGGACGUUACUCGCAGAAUAAGCACCGGCUAACUCUGUGCCAGCAGCCGCGGUAAUACAGAGGGUGCAAGCGUUAAUCGGAUUUACUGGGCGUAAAGCGCGCGUAGGUGGCCAAUUAAGUCAAAUGUGAAAUCCCCGAGCUUAACUUGGGAGUUGCAUUCGAUACUGGUAGGCUAGAGUAUGGGAGAGGAUGGUAGAAUUCCAGGUGUAGCGGUGAAAUGCGUAGAGAUCUGGAGGAAUACCGAUGGCGAAGGCAGCCAUCUGGCCUAAUACUGACACUGAGGUGCGAAAGCAUGGGGAGCAAACAGGAUUAGAUACCCCGGUAGUCC